CAAUCUCAGUAUAAAAGCAAGAUUGUGAUCGCAAAUUUACAAACGCCUGCUAAUUUACAGAGUUAUAACAUCUGAACAAAAUACAGAUCAAAUAAUGGCGGCUAAAGCGGUUGUCCAGCAGCCUCAAAAUACAAAUCCUUGGAGUUCAGAGCUGUUGGGUUGUUGCGAAGACGUGAACUCUUGCCUCUAUGGAUUAUUUUGCUGCCCCUGCAUGGCCUGUUCCACCACUGGGGAUUUUGGGGAGAAAUCAUAUCUGCCUCUGAUAGACAUUUGUGGUCCAGGUUUAAUGUCUAGUUUAGGGAUUCCAAUGUGUGUGCCACCGGUAUCUCUAGGAAUACGGCUAAAAAUGCGCCAGAAAUAUGCAAUUGAGGGCACUCUUUUGAAUGAUAUCUUGGUGUCCUGUUGCUGUAUUUGGUGUUCCUGGUGUCAGAUGAACAGAGAAAUGAAAUCACGCAAAACAUCACCACAGUGACCGCACAACCCCUUGCGCAGGCUGUUCCAAACACAUCCACCAACACAAAUGUUGUGAAAGUUUGAUUUAAUAUGUAAGAGUUGUUCCUAAUUUGCCAAGUUUAACAUAACUAUUUUUUUUUCAGUGUUUUAAUUCAGGGUUUGGGUUGUUUAGUGUUUUAUUUUGGGGUGUCUGUUGUUAAGUGGUUUAUUUUAAAGUGUGGUUUGUUUAGUGUCCUAUUUUUGUGGUGUGGGUUAGGCCAGUGGUUCCCAAACUUUUUCAGCCUGCGGCCCCCCUUGUGUACGGUGCAUUCCUUCGCGGCCCCCCAAAGAAAAUUUGUGACAAAAAACUGUUCUAAAACUCAACAUUUUAAUAAAAAAACAUUAAAUUAUACAAAAAACAGUGCUUUUGGUUAGUAGCCUUAUUUUUUUAGAUUUAAUUACACAGAAUUCACGAUAAAUUAAUGUAUUUCAUAAAACUGGGGGCCCCCUGGGGACCCCGGCCCCCAGUUUGAAAACCACUGGGUUAGACAACCAAAGUUUUAUAGAUUUAUGUUUUAUGAUUAUUUUUUUUACAUUUUUGCAGAGGUGUAAAUUGUAAUUGUUACAUUUUUCAGAGUGUUUUCUUUUACUUUACUACAUUCUAAAGCAUAAUAUAGGGGAAAGCGGGGACGGUUGCAAUACUUUUUGUAUUUCCUUUAAUUUCUCAGAGAGACCCUGUUUGUAAUGGAGUGGCCAAUUUUUUAUGCAUUAAACCUUCAUCUAUACCAACCCACACUGCUGUAGCAUGUUUAAAUAUUUUAAUAUACAUACAAUUAGUUCAAUAUGCAAAGUCAAAUUUUGCAACUGACCCCAAAUGAGGGGAGAGUUGCAACAUUCUGUAAAAUGUAAUAAAAAUAAUUAUUUUCAAUUUUACUUAUUUUAUUUCUGUAGAAACAGGGUCUUCACAAAGUUGAACUGGCUGUGUGUAUAGACAAAGACUUGUAAAAGAAAACAAUAUAUUUUCAAACAAAAAGUAGCCAACUACGUUUCGUAUAAUUAUUACAAUGAAUUUGAACUUCAAAAUAUUUUUACACCAAAAUCAAAACAACAUUUCUGAACUAAACAUGUAAAGUGACACCUUAUAUGUUGUGCGUUUACUUACUAAAAACACAAGAACAGAUUAAACACAGGCUGCAGAUUUACUUUAAAAUGGGACACACCUGACUAUUAAAAGGGUUAUUUAUUAGUACAUAAAAUGGCAAAAACAGU